rnacentral:rRNA from 1 species
AACAUGUCUGUGUGGAAUAGCUAUAAAGUCUAGCCUGCCCACUGAAUUAUUUAAAGGGCCGCGGUAAUUUGACCGUGCGAAGGUAGCAUAGUCAUUAGUCUUUUAAUUGAAGGCUGGAAUGAAUGGUUGGACGAGGGAUAAGCUGUCUUUUUUAUGGGRGUUGAAUUUAACUUUUAAGUGAAAAGGCUUAAAUUAAUUAAAGGGACGAUAAGACCCUAUAAAACUUAAUAUAAAUUUUGUUUUUAUGUGAUUUAAGUGAAAAUCAGUUUAAUGGGAUUUAUAUUUCGUUGGGGAGACGUGAAUAUAAAUAGUAACUGUUUGUAAAAUUUAAUAAUUAUUGUUAGCGAGUGAUCCUUCUUUGGGGAUUAAAAGAAUAAGUUACUUUAGGGAUAACAGCGUGAUUUUCUUUGAGAGUUCUUAUCGACAAGAGUAGUUGCGACCUCGAUGUUGAAUUAAAAUUUUUAGCUAGGUGCAGCCGUUUAGCUGGUAGGUCUGUUCGACCUUUAAAAUUUUACAUGAUUUGAGUUCAAACCGGUGUGAGCCAGGUUGGUUUUCU